rnacentral:rRNA from 1 species
GGUGAGUAACGCGUGGGUAACCUGCCCUGUACACACGGAUAACAUACCGAAAGGUAUGCUAAUACGAGAUAAUAUGCUUUUAUCGCAUGGUAGAAGUAUCAAAGCUUUUGCGGUACAGGAUGGACCCGCGUCUGAUUAGCUAGUUGGUAAGGUAACGGCUUACCAAGGCGACGAUCAGUAGCCGACCUGAGAGGGUGAUCGGCCACAUUGGAACUGAGACACGGUCCAAACUCCUACGGGAGGCAGCAGUGGGGAAUAUUGCACAAUGGGCGCAAGCCUGAUGCAGCAACGCCGCGUGAGCGAUGAAGGCCUUCGGGUCGUAAAGCUCUGUCCUCAAGGAAGAUAAUGACGGUACUUGAGGAGGAAGCCCCGGCUAACUACGUGCCAGCAGCCGCGGUAAUACGUAGGGGGCUAGCGUUAUCCGGAAUUACUGGGCGUAAAGGGUGCGUAGGUGGUUUCUUAAGUCAGAGGUGAAAGGCUACGGCUCAACCGUAGUAAGCCUUUGAAACUGGGAAACUUGAGUGCAGGAGAGGAGAGUGGAAUUCCUAGUGUAGCGGUGAAAUGCGUAGAUAUUAGGAGGAACACCAGUUGCGAAGGCGACUCUCUGGACUGUAACUGACACUGAGGCACGAAAGCGUGGGGAGCAAACAGGAUUAGAUACCCUGGUAGUCCACGCC